AUUGAACGCUGGCGGCAUGCUUUACACAUGCAAGUCGAACGGCAGCGCGGGCUUCGGCCUGGCGGCGAGUGGCGAACGGGUGAGUAAUACAUCGGAACGUGCCCAGUAGUGGGGGAUAGCUCGGCGAAAGCCGGAUUAAUACCGCAUACGACCUGAGGGUGAAAGCGGGGGAUCUUCGGACCUCGCGCUAUUGGAGCGGCCGAUGGCAGAUUAGCUAGUUGGUGGGGUAAAGGCCUACCAAGGCGACGAUCUGUAGCUGGUCUGAGAGGACGACCAGCCACACUGGGACUGAGACACGGCCCAGACUCCUACGGGAGGCAGCAGUGGGGAAUUUUGGACAAAGGGCGAAAGCCUGAUCCAGCAAUGCCGCGUGUGUGAUGAAGGCCUUCGGGUUGUAAAGCACUUUUGGCGGGAACGAAAAGGACUGUGCCAAUACCACGGUUCGAUGACGGUACCCGCAGAAUAAGCACCGGCUAACUACAUG
rnacentral:rRNA from 1 species